rnacentral:rRNA from 1 species
GACGAACGCUGGCGGCGUGCCUAAUACAUGCAAGUAGAACGCUGAAGGAGGAGCUUGCUUCUCUGGAUGAGUUGCGAACGGGUGAGUAACGCGUAGGUAACCUGCCUGGUAGCGGGGGAUAACUAUUGGAAACGAUAGCUAAUACCGCAUAAUAGUAGAUGUUGCAUGACAUUUGCUUAAAAGGUGCAAUUGCAUCACUACCAGAUGGACCUGCGUUGUAUUAGCUAGUUGGUGAGGUAACGGCUCACCAAGGCAACGAUACAUAGCCGACCUGAGAGGGGGAUCGGCCACACUGGGACUGAGACAAGGCCCAGACUCCUACGGGAGGCAGCAGUAGGGAAUCUUCGGCAAUGGACGGAAGUCUGAACGAGCAACGCCGCGUGAGUGAAGAAGGUUUUCGGAUCGUAAAGCUCUGUUGUAAGAGAAGAAAGAGUGUGAGAGUGGAAAGUUCACACUGUGACGGUAUCUUACCAGAAAGGGACGGCUAACUACGUG